ACUGGGUGUGGUGAUGCAUGCCUGUAAUCCCAGUAGCUCAGGAAGCUGAGGCAGGAGGAUCGCAGGUUCAAAUCCAGCCUCGGCAAGUCAGCAAGGCCCUAAGCAACUUGGUGAGACCCUGUUUCGA
rnacentral:sRNA from 1 species